GUUGCUUCUUACUGGUGAACGCUCUCUGAUUUAACGGUGAGGGAUGUUCAUGUUUCCGAAGCAUAGAUUAAUUAUUUUUUAGCCAGUUUUAAACAGCGCUGUGCAUUUUAUCUUUCUUGCACUGUGCUACCUGUCUCCUGGUAUAUUU
rnacentral:snoRNA from 1 species